rfam:Actinobacteria bacterium OV450 ctg81, whole genome shotgun sequence.
CUUGAUGGAGCCCAGCCACAGCGGGUUGUCCUCGUCGCGGCCCUGCCCGUAGGUGGCCAGCAGCGCCUGCGCCUC